AGUAUCCGAAGAAAAAGCAUCGGCUAACUCCGUGCCAGCAGCCGCGGUAAUACGGAGGAUGCGAGCGUUAUCCGGAUUUAUUGGGUUUAAAGGGUGCGUAGGCGGCACGCCAAGUCAGCGGUGAAAUUUCCGGGCUCAACCCGGAGUGUGCCGUUGAAACUGGCGAGCUAGAGUACACAAGAGGCAGGCGGAAUGCGUGGUGUAGCGGUGAAAUGCAUAGAUAUCACGCAGAACCCCGAUUGCGAAGGCAGCCUGCUAGGGUGAAACAGACGCUGAGGCACGAAAGCGUGGGUAUCGAACAGGAUUAGAUACCCUGGUAGUCCACGCAGUAAACGAUGAAUACUAACUGUUUGCGAUACAAUGUAAGCGGUACAGCGAAAGCGUUAAGUAUUCCACCUGGGGA
rnacentral:rRNA from 1 species